rnacentral:rRNA from 1 species
AUUGAACGCUGGCGGCAUGCCUUACACAUGCCAGUCGAACGGUAACGGGCCUUCGGUUGCCGACGAGUGGCGAACGGGUGGGUAAUACAUCGGAACGUGCCCGAUCGUGGGGGAUAACGAGGCGAAAGCUUUGCUAAUACCGCAUACGAUCUACGGAUGAAAGCAGGGGACCGCAAGGCCUUGCGCGGACGGAGCGGCCGAUGGCAGAUUAGGUAGUUGGUGGGAUAAAAGCUUACCAAGCCGACGAUCUGUAGCUGGUCUGAGAGGAUGAUCAGCCACACUGGGACUGAGACACGGCCCAGACUCCUACGGGAGGCAGCAGUGGGGAAUUUUGGACAAUGGGCGCAAGCCUGAUCCAGCCAUGCCGCGUGCAGGAUGAAGGCCUUCGGGUUGUAAACUGCUUUUGUACGGAACGAAAAGCCUUCUUUUAAUACAGGAGGGUCAUGACGGUACCGUAAGAAUAAGCACCGGCUAACUACGUG